AUCCCGCCAUUUUACCCCAAUUUUUCCCCCUGAAAUCCCUAAUCUUCAGACUUUUCUUCACUCCCGUUUUCUUCAGACUUUUCAUAUCCAGCUUCCUUCUCAUUAUCUCUCUCUCUCUCGGUUUCAUUUCAAUAUUUCCCCUCAUUCUUUUUCGUGAGGGGGAGAAAACCAAAGAUUUUGUCUGCCGUUUCUUUUUUUUUUGGUGAUAUUGAAAUCCCCUGUUUUCGAUAUUUGUUUGAAAUCUAUUGUUGUCGGCCUGUCUGUUUCUUUUUGGUUUUUUAUUUGUCUACUUUCGUGAGGGAUAAUCCCUAAGCUUUCUAUUGCAAAACUCACAGUUUCACUCUUUGUUUGAAAUCUAUUGUUGUGGGUCUGUCUGUUUCUUUUUGGUUGCUUUGUCGAAGACUGAUUUCAGUUUUCAGGUUUAGGCAUCUGAGCUUUUGGAGCCGUUCUACCUUAACUCUUUGGAUUGUCUGUUUCUUUAGACAAUUCUUUGGGUCAGUCACAAAGGUUGAUUACCUGACAUUGAGGCAUGGAUUUAUCAUGG